UAGCAUUCUUUCAGGCCAUAAUCCUCAUUCUGUUCCUUGCCGAGUGCCUGUGCAGGUUUGUACAGAUGCUAGAUUCAAGAACUUCUGCUAUAAAAUUAUAGAACAUCUGAGAGAUGAUGGAAAUCGAGUUGGAUAAAUUUAUCUAGAAUUUAGGGAAAAGGUCUGGCCCACAGAUAUUGCUCAUUAGAAAUGUGUCACCUCAACUUUUUGACUCAGUUAAUGUUUGUUUUUAUCAUCAUCACUCAACAGAUACAGGCCAACUACAGAAAAAGGUGUGUUAUAAUUUGCUAUGAUGGAACAAUUUCCUAACAUCAAAAGGCAGACAAAGACAAAGUCAUUUCAAAUGUAUAUGCAGGCUAAGUCCAGACUCACCAGCAUGGAGAAUAAACCACAGGACUUCACUACAGGUUUUGCCCUUUGAUUUUCUAAAAUCAUUUAAUAUACUCCUGCCCCUCCCUCAACUUCACCCAAAAGGAGAAACACCCAGAAAAUCUUCCAGGAAGACAGAAGAGGGACACUGGCUGGGGAGCCUGAGAAAAAUCCAGAGAGAUCUCCCAAAAAAGACCAACCCUGAGACCCCAGCAAGGCUGCAAGGAAGAGGGAUGCCAAACUCCAUGCUAUUUAAAGCACCAGAUGUGUAAUUUAAAGGAACAGGCUUCCAAAGGUACUGCUUUACAGGGAGAGGAAAAAAGGCAAAGAGGAGAAAAGAGAGUCUUCUGACAAUUCGAUAGUGAGGAGUAAGAGGGAAAAGGGGGACACUGAGAGUUCCGCAAAACAAAGGAAAUCACAAAUUAAGAGGACACAACCAGCCCCACUACGAAGACAAAAAGCUCACUAGGGAGUGUGGACUUUGCUAGAAUGACGGCAAAAGGAACAUGAAACUAGGAAUUUUGUAAAACACCCCAAUAACACAAAAAUGAGCAAGACAAAAGGAAAACCCAUACAACAAAGGAAAACAUCUCACCUCUGUCCCCUGUUCCUCACCUCAAAGGCAAUCAUGAGUCAGAAGAAAACGUAAGUCUACACUCCAAACAGAAUUAAAUACACUCAAGUAAGCAGCUGAGGAUAUGAUGUGACCAUCACCAGACCAGGAGUUCAAAAACUCAGACUAGAAAUAGCCAACUUGAGAAGACAUAAAAAAAGAACUUGAUUGAACUCAGGAAGGACGUGAAAGAAAAAGACAAAAUUAUCCCAUUAGUGAAAAAUAAAUUAAAAGAUGACCAAGGGAGAAUAAACUCAAAUGAAAAUUUUGUCAGGACAUUGAACAAAGGCAAAGAAACACAUAGGAGAAUGAGAAGGACAUGAGCGACACCAGCCAGUCAGAAGGCGGUCAAAGGAGGCCAGGUCUCGGUGUGAUCACGUGAGGGUCCUAGAACUGCAGCGCUGGGCUCUGUGCAGCAGGACGGCUAAGCAGUAGGUUGUCACAGUGUCCACAGACACCGCUGGCCAGACCCCAGGAGUCACUCUCCCUGAGAGAGCUGAUGGCACAAAGAAUGACAAGAACUCCAGGGGAUGGGCUUCUUAAAUACCCUGAUUUCAUCAUCACACAUUCUAUGCAUGUAACAAAAUAUCACAGACACCCACAAAUAGAUACAAAUAUUAUGCAUCAAUUUUUAAAAAAGGAAAAAUGAAUGAAUUUCACAUUCUUGUAUAAUCAGAGUGUCUACAGUGCUCCUAAAGUAACUAAAACAUACGGUCACUGGAAAGAUAAAAACCAAUGAGCCAAUUGGAGUGAAACUCUGACCCGGAAACGUGAGGUGCCAGCCCCCUCAGCACAGAUGCGAUGUAUAGUUACAGAGUUACGGGAGGUGGGAAUGACUCUGUUCUCUGUCCUGUCUCCUCAUCUGCAAAAUUAGAAAGCCUGUCUUGAAUAUCUCCAGGGACCUCUCCCCUCUUCAUUCCAGCCUCUGACAAACUCCACACAUCAGGCCAGGGGAAGCCCCGGAGCCAAGCCUCUUGACUCAUUCUCUUCUAAUAAGUGCUUGGAGGUACAAGGAGGGCCCCUUUCCACUAUGAGCAACCAGGUGCUCUGCUGUGUGAUCCUUUGUCUCCUCGGAGCAAAAAUCGUGGAUGGUGGAAUCACUCAAUCCCCAAAGCACCUGUUCAGAAAGGAAGGACAGGCUGUGACCCUAGGUUGUGAACAAAAUUUGAACCACGAUGCCAUCUACUGGUACCGACAGGACCCAGGGCAAGGACUGAGAUUGAUCUACUACUCACAGAUAGUAGAUGACUUUCAGAAAGGAGACAUAGCUGAAGACUACAGCGUCUCUCGGAAGAAAAAGGAGUCCUUCCCUCUCACUGUGACAUCGGCCCAAAGGAACCACACAGCUUUCUAUCUCUGUGCCAGUAGUAUUGACACAGUGAAGCACAGAUGCCACCUCUCUGUGCAUAAAUGUGCCCAGUCCUGUUUCCCCAACCAGGUGGCAGGGCUCCUCUGUACUGUCCCUGCCUGCCCUCUUUCCUGCACCUCAGCCAGUCAUGCAGUGCAGCUGCUGCCAUCAACAGACUGUGUGAUGGCAGGAAACUUCAUUCAGCCUCUCUCUAUGUAUAGUUUCACACAUAUAGUUUUUUAA